CCUACGGGGUGCAGCAGUCGGGAAUAUUGCGCAAUGGAGGAAACUCUGACGCAGUGACGCCGCGUAUAGGAAGAAGGUUUUCGGAUUGUAAACUAUUGUCGUUAGGGAAGAGAAAGGACAGUACCUAAGGAGGAAGCUCUGGCUAACUACGUGCCAGCAGCCGCGGUAAUACGUAGGGAGCGAGCGUUAUCCGGAAUUAUUGGGUGUAAAGGGUGAGUAGACGGGAAUGCAAGUUAGUUGUGAAAUCCCUCGGCUUAACUGAGGAACUGCAACUAAAACUACAUGUCUUGAGUGCAGGAGAGGUAAGUGGAAUGCCUAGUGUAGCGGUGAAAUGCGGAGAUAUUAGGAGGAACACCAGUGGCGAAGGCGACUUACUGGACUGUAACUGACGUUGAGGCACGAAAGUGUGGGGAGCAAACAGGAUUAGAGACCCCUGUAGUC
rnacentral:rRNA from 1 species